CAGGGGAUAGUUUAAAUGUUAGAAUUUCAGCUUUGGGUGUUGAUGGUAGAAUUUAGUGUUCUUUCCCUGA
rnacentral:tRNA from 1 species